rnacentral:misc_RNA from 1 species
GAUCCCCAAAAAAUUAUCACUAUAUACACAUCAGUCAGUGUAAUUACACAUAACAUUGCAUGCAUCUUGGAUUUCAAUUAAUCAUUUCCAGUUAUAUGUGAAACCCUCAGAAAAUGUUAUUUGACUCUAUAUGGUCAAAUUAAAAUGAGUUAUAUUACAUAGAACCAGUACUGAAAAUAAUAAACAAUAUUAACCCCACCCAACUGGUGUCCUAAUUGACCUUUUUCAUAAAUUCAUUUGUACACUUGCAGCUUCAUUACACUGACAACAUAGAAGAUAUGUAUUACAUUUCUUCUAAAUUUUCAUUCCUGUGCUAUCAUCAGCAAGCCUGUACCACUAUCACACCAAUCAUCUACGGCAAAUAAUCACAUCACAGGAAGAACUAGUACUACAAACCACUAAAAGAAACAUGGCCAGUGUAUUACAAAAUUGUAAGAGUCCAAAUUUCAUAAUGCAUUUCUAUAUAAGCAAAAAUACAUGCACUAUGGAAUUACUAGAUUAAAUAACCAUUAAAUUCCAAUAAUCUGAAUCAUAUCAAUUAAAGCCAACUAAGGAAAACAUGGAAAAAGGGCAAGAAUUGG